ensembl:lncRNA
CACUGAGACGAUUCUAAAUCCUCAGGCCGGUCAUGUGACUCAACAUGGCGUCAUCAUGACGUGUAAUCGCGCACCUGUAGAAUAAACAGAUUUGGUCUUCAGUCUUCACGACUUCAUGUGAGAAGAACAUGUAAUGCUAUAUGUAGGACACUGACCUAAACUGCUUGACCUCUGGCAAGGGCAGUCAAAGGUCAACUCACUUGACAUCUCUGCCCACAUCUUACUGAUGAACACACCAGUUCAACGCACAUCUGUGCAUCUGAGACAAACAAUAUCAAGUGCGGGCGUAAAAUUACACAUGGAAGUAAUCAGUUCAUCUUUGCUCUGGGCAAGAGGCAUUUUUAAUUUCACUGGAGGAUAGAAAGCCAGCGGCAGAGCUCCAUCCAUUUCCCCUGGUUCAGCAGCGGGUCACCGGAGGGAGGGGGCUCGUGUUAUUGGGG